rnacentral:rRNA from 1 species
AACGUAGGUACCGAGCGUUAUCCGGAUUUAUUGGGCGUAAAGAGCGUGUAGGCGGCCAUGUAGGUCUGCUGUGAAAACUCGAGGCUUAACCUCGAGAUGUCGGCGGAAACCAUCUGGCUAGAGUCCGGAAGAGGAGAGUGGAAUUCCUGGUGUAGCGGUGAAAUGCGCAGAUAUCAGGAGGAACGCCAAUUGCGAAGGCAGCUCGCUGGGACGUUACUGACGCUGAGACGCGAAAGCGUGGGGAGCAAACAGG